AUGUCAAUUCAAAUAUACAGAACCAGAGUUAAAUAACAAAAAUAAAAUAAACACAAUUUACACCUUACAAACAUCAAUAUUAUUUUAGAAAUAGACUCUUUCAUUAACCAAAGUAGGUAUAUUUAUAACGUAAUUAGACUAAAACAGUAUAUAUACCUAAACACUUUUUAAAACAGAAAUAGUAAUAAUAUAUUUAUAAUUAUUACCACAUUCACCACACCACAAGUGUUCAUGUUCAUUUUAUAAAAUAAAUGUUAAAAGCAAAAACAACAAAGGUAUAACCUCAAAAAUAAAAUGUAAACAAACCUAUCACUACGAAACUACGAACAAACAGCUGAUUCGUGACGUCACGCAUACGUCACGGUUCUUUUGAGUUUUUGCUGCAGUGAGACAAACGUAAAAUAUUUUAUAAUUUCUAGACGCGAGUGUGUGAUCUCUCAUCUAUAGGGCUUUUCAUUCACAGUCAUUUGUUUCGAGCUUCUGUCAUGUGUCACAUAAUAUUAAUAUAUCUACGUCAUACGUUAUUGGUAUAUACCAAUGAUACAAACCAAAGACGUAUGACGUAGAUAUAUUAAUAUUAUGUGACACAUGACAGAAGCUCGAAACAAAUGACAAUCGAUGAAAAGCCCUAUGGCAGAAACUCAAAUGAAACCAUGCCCCGCUCACUCUAACAAAAAACAUGUAAUCGUAUUUAUUUUCCUUCCAUUUAGUCAGAGGCGCUGAUGUCGGCAUUGUGAUUGGUGGGACGUGACUUUUGACAAAUCCUGGCUAUCUGUGAAUCUGUAAUCUGUGUUCGUGUGUUCGUUCGUUCGUUGUCGUGAUGUGUUUGUGUCACCCAGUGUUCUCAGACCUCCUGAAAUUUCAGGAGACCUACUGAUGGCGACCCUCGCCUACUGAUCUACUGAUGGCGUCCUUAAACCUCCUGAUGAAGUGAUGAAAUUCUGAAAAUCAUCUGGUUUUGUUCCAACUCGAUACAAAACCGUUCUUGAAUGAUUACGAGGAUGCGCAGUAACGAAAAAUGUGUUAAUGCGCAACAUUACUCGUCAUUGCGCAUGCGCGUAACGAUUCAAGAACGGUUUUGUAUGGAGUUUUAAUUUUUCAGAAUUUUAUCCUAUUUUAUUUUUUUUAUUUUUAUGCUUUAGCCGCCACAUAGCGUUGCCACAGCCGUCCCUUACAGAUUUUAUAGAGUUGCAUGCCUACCUAUAAACGUAAAAAUACUCCACCAACUGAUUCUACUGAUUUUUCGUGGCGACAUCUAGUUGCCAAUCUAUAAACGUAAAGACUGAAACUACAGAAUUCUACCAAUUUUUGAGGCGAGCGAGUCUCCUGAAAUCUCCUGAUCGUUCGUGGCGACACCUCCUGAUCCUCAAAAAAGUCAUCUGGGAACACUGGUGUCACCAUAAAAAGCUGAUAUUCAGUCGUGCUGUUUGAUAUUUUUGUUAUUUCAUAAUCGAGUACCUUUUUAAAGGUCUAAUGGCUCCGUUCAGCUGUUGUGUGCAAACGGUGAAAAAAUUCGACAAGUAAACAUUUAUUUAAUCCAAAUUACUCAUAUUUCUAUGUUAAAUGUCACAUUAUUGUAUAAAUAAAUAAGUAAGAAACAAAA